rnacentral:rRNA from 1 species
AUUGAACGCUGGCGGCAGGCCUAACACAUGCAAGUCGAACGAGUGGCGGACGGGUCAGUAAUGUCUUGCAACCUUCCCGAUGGAGGGGGAUAACUACUGGAAACGGUAGCUAAUACCGCAUCCCAUCGGAUGUCCCCCGAUGGGAUUAGCUAGGAGGUGGGGUAAAGGCUCACCUAGGGGACGAUCCCUAGCUGGGCUGAGAGGAUGACAAGCGACACGGGAACUGAGACACGGUCCAGACUCCUACGGGAGGCAGCAGUGGGGAAUAUUGCACAAUGGGCGAAAGCCUGAUGCAGCCAUGUCGCGUGUAUGAAGAAGGCCUUCGGGUUGUAAAGUACUUUCAGCGGGGAGGCGUUACCCGCAGAAGAAGCACCGGCUAACUCCGUGCCAGCAGCCGCGGUAAUAC